AUUGAACGCUGGCGGCAUGCUUUACACAUGCAAGUCGAACGGCAGCACGGACUUCGGUCUGGUGGCGAGUGGCGAACGGGUGAGUAAUACAUCGGAACGUACCCAGUAAUGGGGGAUAACUAUCCGAAAGGAUAGCUAAUACCGCAUACGCCCUACGGGGGAAAGAGGGGGAUCGCAAGACCUCUUGUUAUUGGAGCGGCCGAUGGCUGAUUAGCUAGUUGGUAGGGUAAAGGCCUACCAAGGCAACGAUCAGUAGCGGGUCUUAGAGGACGAUCCGCCACACUGGAACUGAGACACGGUCCAGACUCCUACGGGAGGCAGCAGUGGGGAAUCUUGGACAAUGGGCGCAAGCCUGAUCCAGCAAUGCCGCGUGCGUGAAGAAGGCCUUCGGGUUGUAAAGCGCUUUUGUCAGGGAGCAAAUCCUUGUGGCUAAUACCCACCGGGGAUGAGAGUACCUGAAGAAUAAGGACCGGCUAACUACGUGCCAGCCGCCGCAGUAACAC
rnacentral:rRNA from 1 species